AAUGAAUGUGAACAUUAAAUGAGUUAAAUUUGCUAUUAUAGAUCAAGAAAGACGUGAAGAUUAUCUCAAACGAGGAAAAGAAAAGAUAGUGGAGUGAAGUGCAAAAUUACGAUAUUUACUAUCAUGGUCUUAAUUGAGCUAGCUUGCCUCAUCAGGUAAUUUGCUGCAUUCCAUUUAUUUAGAGUUAUUUGGAAUGUUUAGUAUUUAAUAUUGUCAUAGUUGAAAGUAUCAUUCAUAAUCUAAUCUAAUUGUGUUUUUGGCAAGUGGUUGUUGAUCAAGGAAAACUAAAGGAGGCCAAUAAGAAGAACGAAACUCCACAUCUUUACUAUCAUGUUCUACAAAACAAAUAGACUUUUUUCUCGAUGAAAUUUGUAUUGGGCUAUCAAUGUUUCAUGGAUUAUGUUGUUUUUCUAAUGUAAGAGGGGGUUUUGCCAAUAUUGCACGCAAAAUCAAAGUAUUAUUUGCCA
rnacentral:lncRNA from 1 species